rnacentral:rRNA from 1 species
GACGAACGCUGGCGGCGUGCUUAACACAUGCAAGUCGAACGGAAAGGCCUGCUUUCCCUUGUGGAUUGCGGGUACUCGAGUGGCGAACGGGUGAGUAACACGUGAGUGAUCUGCCCCCAACUUGGGUAUAAGCCUGGGAAACUGGGUCUAAUUAUCGAUAGGACUGCAGGGUGGUGCCUGUGGUGGAAAAUGAUUUUCUAGUGGUUGGGGAUGAGCUCGCGGCCUAUCAGCUUGUUGGGGGGGUAAUGGCCUGCCAAGGCGGCGCCGGGUAGCCGGCCUGGGAGGGGGGACGGCCACAUUGGGACUGGGAUACGGCCCAGACUCCUACGGGAGGCAGCAGUGGGGCAUAUUGCACAAUAGGCGGAAGCCUGAUGCAGCGACGCCGCGUGGAGGAUGACGGCCUUCGGGUUGUAAACUCCUUUCGACCGCGAGGAAGCCACCUGGUUGGAAGGGUGGUGACGGUAGUGGUAGAAGAAGCACCGGCUAACUACGUG